ensembl:lncRNA
CCUUUGUUGAGCCUAUAAAGGAGGGUCUUUCCCGUUCCUUCGUUCAGUAAAUGUUUACUCUUUGUUUACUCUUCCUUUGUUGCAGCUUGACACAAAUACAUCCUCACCCUAAGGACAUGAUCUAAAUCAACAGCGCGUGAGGGAGAGAGGCAGGAAGGAAAUGCCAAAGAAGAAAAGAGCACUCUCCUCAAGUCCUCUGCACUAUAACAAGCUUCUCACAUGGAUGUCGAUAGAUAAUGAGUGGGAGAUGCCCACUGUAGUGAGUUUCCCACUGGCACAGAGUGUUGACAACAACACCUCCUUCACACUGACUUUUAACACACGGGGCCCCCAGGGGUGUGUCCUUAGCCCUCUGCUGUACUCCCUGUUCACCCACGACUGUGUGGCUUUGCAUGACACCAACUCCAUUUUCAAGUUGCUGACGACACCACGGUUGAAGGCCUGAUAACCAACAAUGACGAGUCAGCCUAUAGGGAAGAGGUAAGUGAACUGGCAUUGUGGUUCCAGGACAACAACCUCUCCCUCAACGUCAGCAAAACAAAGGAGUUGAUUGUUGACUUCAGCAAGUAGAGGA